AUUGAACGCUGGCGGCAUGCUUUACACAUGCAAGUCGAACGGUAACAGGCCGCAAGGUGCUGACGAGUGGCGAACGGGUGAGUAAUGCAUCGGAACGUGCCCAGUCGUGGGGAUAACGCAGCGAAAGCUGCGCUAAUACCGCAUACGAUCUAUGGAUGAAAGCGGGGGACCGUAAGGCCUCGCGCGAUUGGAGCGGCCGAUGUCAGAUUAGGUAGUUGGUGGGGUAAAGGCUCACCAAGCCGACGAUCUGUAGCUGGUCUGAGAGGACGACCAGCCACACGGGGACUGAGACACGGCCCAGACUCCUACGGGAGGCAGCAGUGGGGAAUUUUGGACAAUGGGCGCAAGCCUGAUCCAGCAAUGCCGCGUGCAGGAAGAAGGCCUUCGGGUUGUAAACUGCUUUUGUACGGAACGAAACGGUCUGGAUUAAUACCCUGGGCUAAUGACGGUACCGUAAGAAUAAGCACCGGCUAACUACGUGCCAGCAGCCGCGGUAAUAC
rnacentral:rRNA from 1 species